rnacentral:lncRNA from 1 species
UUUAAAGGAGCAGAAGCUCACUUCGUUCUUCAAAAUUCAAAGGAGCAAAAGCUCAAUUUCGUUCAAGAAAAAUUCGAAGAAGCUAGAGCUUAUUUUCGUUCAAAAAUACUUCAGCAUAAUUCUAUCAAAAUAUUACGGUUACAAAAGAGUACGGUACAAUCUUCGUCAACAAUAUUAUACGAAGUUUUCCUACUCCAGGUAUGUUAAGGUCAUCAUUGCUAUCUUUUGAUAUGGUUCGAGUUAUACGGAGAAAACGAGCAAACACACAGUUUUUACAAUGAUCUCUAUGUUCUUGAUUCCCCAUGUGACAUAUAGUUUAGGUUGUACGUUAUGUAUAUAUAUUCUCGUAUAUAUUU